rnacentral:sRNA from 1 species
UAAACUAAAUCUUACCCUCGAAAUUUAUCGAGUUAGCGCACGGCUCAAUCCCUUGAGCCAUUCCCCUAAGCUCGGGACAACUUGGAUUCGUCCCGAGCAUUUUUUU